UGAAUACGAGAUGCUACGGCGUCGAAGCAGUGUAUGUCAGACUUCCAAGAAAAGCUCGCAAUGUCAUAAAUAAAGAAUGCCUGUACCAUAACCGACACAGGUGGGUAGGUAGAGUAUACUAAGGGGCGCGAGAUAACUCUCUCUAAGGAACUCGGCAAAAUAACUCCGUAACUUCGGGAGAAGGAGUGCCUUCUUUAAGAAGGUUGCAAUAACAAGAUCCAAGCAACUGUUUAUCAAAAACACAGGUCUCCGCUAAGUCGUAAGACGAUGUAUGGGGGCUGACGCCUGCCCAGUGCCAGAAGGUUAAAGAAGCUGGUUAGCAAUAGCGAAGCUGGUGACUGAAGCCCUGGUGAACGGCGGCCGUAACAAUAACGGUCCUAAGGUAGCGAAAUUCCUUGUCGGGUAAGUUCCGACCCGCACGAAAGGCGUAAUGAUUUGGAUACUGUCUCGGAGAGGGACUCGGUGAAAUAGACUUGUCUGUGAAGAUGCGGACUACCUGCACCAGGACAGAAAGAGCCUAUGAAGCUUUACUGUAACCUGAAAUUGAAAUUGGACUUUAUUUGCGCAGUAUAGGUGGGAGGCGUUGAAAGUAAUCUUGCGGGAUUAGUGGAGCCAUCAGUGAGAUGCCACUCCUAUAAUGUUAGAUUUCUAACUUUGGAUCAUGAUCUGGUCAAAGAACAGUUUCAGGCGGGCAGUUUGACUGGGGCGGUCGCCUCCCAAAUGGUAACGGAGGCGUACAAAGGUUUCCUCUGAACGGGUAGAAAUCGUAUCUAGAGUGUAAAGGCAUAAGGAAGCUUGACUGUGAGACCUACAAGUCGAGCAGGGACGAAAGUCGGUCUUAGUGAUCUGACGGUGCUGAGUGGAAAGGCCGUCACUCAACGGAUAAAAGUUACUCUAAGGAUAACAGGCUGAUCUCCCCCAAGAGUUCACAUCGACGGGGAGGUUUGGCACCUCGAUGUCGGCUCAUCGCAUCCUGGGGCGGUAGUACGUCCCAAGGGUUGGGCUGUUCGCCCAUGAAAGCGGUACGCGAGCUGGGUUCAGAACGUCGUGAGACAGUUCGGUCCAUAUCCGGUGUAGGCGUUAGAAUAUUGAGAGGAGCCUUCUCUAGUACGAGAGGACCGAGAAGGACAUACCUCUGGCGUACCAGUUAUCGUGCCAACGGUAAAUGCUGGGUAGCUAUGUAUGGAGAGGAUAACCGCUGAAAGCAUCUAAGUGGGAAGCCCACCUCAAGAUGAGUAUUCUCAUC
rnacentral:rRNA from 1 species